rnacentral:rRNA from 1 species
GUGUCAGCCGCCGCGGUAAUACCGGCAGCCCAAGUGAUGGCCGAUCUUAUUGGGCCUAAAGCGUCCGUAGCUGGCCGCACAAGUCCAUCGGAAAAUCCACCCGCCCAACGGGUGGGCGUCCGGUGGAAACUGUGUGGCUUGGGACCGGAAGGCGCGACGGGUACGUCCGGGGUAGGAGUGAAAUCCUGUAAUCCUGGACGGACCGCCGAUGGCGAAAGCGCCUCAGGAGAACGGAUCCGACAGUGAGGGACGAAAGCUAGGGUCUCGAACCGGAUUAGAAACCCUUGUAGUCC